UAAAAAACUUUAUUGCAGUACCUACAUACACUUUCUACAUCUAAUUUUGUUUAUUGAUCACAUUCAUUUACUUGAAAAAGUAUCAGGCCUAUGAAUCGUCGUCUGGAAACAGCUAACCACACACCAACCUUCAUUGCGUGUGAUGGUGUUUCUUCAAAAGCUUGACAUAAUAGCCUAACAGAUGAAACCAGGCUUCAUCAGAAAAGAACGACAAAUCGAGAAUCCCGUUAUCGUCCAUAUCAGCUUGAAACCAACUACAAUACCCAACGCGGCAAGGAAAAUCAGCUGGUUGCAGCUCCUGAACCAACAAAAUCUUGUAUGGAUGCAUAUGUAACUUCUCUUUUACGAUUUUCUGACAUGGGCUGUAUGGUACUCCGGACAGUAAAGAUUUUUGACAAA